rnacentral:rRNA from 1 species
UGAGGAAUAUUGGUCAAUGGGCGGAAGCCUGAACCAGCCAAGUCGCGUGAAGGAAGAAGGAUCUAUGGUUUGUAAACUUCUUUAGAAGGGGGAUAAAGUGAGAUACGUGUAUUUCAUUGCAGUUACCCUUAGAAUAAGCAUCGGCUAACUCCGUGCCAGCAGCCGCGGUAAUACGGAGGAUGCGAGCGUUAUCCGGAUUUAUUGGGUUUAAAGGGUGCGUAGGUUGUUGUUUAAGUCAGCGGUGAAACCUUGGUGCUUAACAUUGAGCGUGCCGUUGAAACUGAACGACUUGAGUAUGAACGAGGCAGGCGGAAUGUGUGGUGUAGCGGUGAAAUGCAUAGAUAUCACGCAGAACUCCGAUAGCGAAGGCAGCUUGCCAGGUCACAACAGACACUGAAGC